rnacentral:rRNA from 1 species
AGUGAACGCUGGCGGUAGGCCUAACACAUGCAAGUCGAACGGCAGCACAGAGGAGCUUGCUCCUUGGGUGGCGAGUGGCGGACGGGUGAGGAAUACAUCGGAAUCUACUCUGUCGUGGGGGAUAACGUAGGGAAACUUACGCUAAUACCGCAUACGACCUACGGGUGAAAGCAGGGGACCUUCGGGCCUUGCGCGAUUGAAUGAGCCGAUGCCGGAUUAGCUAGUUGGCGGGGUAAAGGCCCACCAAGGCGACGAUCCGUAGCUGGUCUGAGAGGAUGAUCAGCCACACUGGAACUGCGACACGGUCCAGACUCCUACGGGAGGCAGCAGUGGGGAAUAUUGGACAAUGGGCGCAAGCCUGAUCCAGCCAUACCGCGUGGGUGAAGAAGGCCUUCGGGUUGUAAAGCCCUUUUGUUGGGAAAGAAAUCCAGCUGGCUAAUACCCGGUUGGGAUGACGGUACCCAAAGAAUAAGCACCGGCUAACUUCGUGCCAGCCGCCGCGGUAA